CUUCUUGCUACACCCUCACGACUAAUGACAGUGCUUACUCCUUUAAGGACUCUCAUUAGCCGCGCGAGUCACUGUAGCGGAAGAGGUUCAAAUUUUAGAAACGGUAAAAACAGUGGUUAAAUUUCUCAAUACUGUUUGUAUCAAUUCCGUUUCUUAGAAGAAAAGGGGCCGAUUAGGCCCCUUUCC
rnacentral:sRNA from 1 species